CAUUAGGUCGGUUUGAAGAUAAAUACUAAGGGAUGAGGGGCGGCGUGUGUGGAGGUGGAAGCAGCAGUCACGUGGAGCCUGGGUGCCUGGACUCAAACAGUGCCAGGUGACUCAGACCCUGCAUCCCUGCCAGCAAAAUUGCCUGUGAUUCUUUGUGGGCUGAAGCAAGAAAUGAGCACGCCCUUCCCAGGAACUUUGUGGGACUGAAGUGUGUGUGGCGGGGGAGAGCCAGUGGCUCUGGUUUGGCAAGAUUGCUGCAUUCCCGAGUUCCUGAGACAUUUGCAUCGAAUUAACUCUGAAAUUUCAAGGUCGUGACCCAGGAGAGGAUGCCUGACCCAGGAAUGAAAACUGGAAGAGCUUUGAACAUCUAUCAACAUGUUUCUUGACAGGCCCUUGGACCCGGCCUUCUAUUUCCAGGUCUGUGAUGCUGUCUCUGUGAUGGUGAGGAGGUGGCCCCUGAUUAAAGCAGUGUGGACCCAAGACAGAUUGUCCAUGGGCUGGUCAACAACUUAGGAGGUGUCAGGCACGAAGCCUUGCCCAGCUGGCAUCAUAGGCUCACCUCAGGACCAGAUAUACUCUUCCCUUUGCUGUGAGGAAGUGGGGAGUCUCAGUUCAGUUCAGUCGCUCAGUCGU
rnacentral:lncRNA from 1 species